rnacentral:rRNA from 1 species
CCUACGGGAGGCAGCAGUGAGGAAUAUUGGUCAAUGGGAGAGAUCCUGAACCAGCCAAGCCGCGUGAGGGAAGACGGCCCUAUGGGUUGUAAACCUCUUUUGUCGGGGAACAAAACCCGGGACGUGUCCCGUACUGCGUGUAUCCGAAGAAAAAGCAUCGGCUAACUCCGUGCCAGCAGCCGCGGUAAUACGGAGGAUGAGAGCGUUAUCCGGAUUUAUUUGGUUUAAAGGGUGCGUGGGCGGUACGUUGAGUCAGCGGUAAAAUUGCGGGGCUCAACCCCGUCGAGACGUUGAAACUGGCAGACUUGAGUUGGCGAGAAGUACGCGGAAUGCGCGGUGUAGCGGUGAAAUGCAUAGAUAUCGCGCAGAACUCCGAUUGCGAAGGCAGCGUACCGGCGCCAGACUGACGCUGAGGCACGAAAGCGUGGGGAUCGAACAGGAUUAGAUACCCCGGUAGUC